CUGCUCCGCCCGCCCGCCCGCCCGCCCGCCGCGGGGACCCGGCACAGCCCGUCCGGCGGGGAUGCUGCUGCCCACCCCCAAAGAGGACGUGGCGUGUGUGUUUCCCACGGGCUCCCCCGAGCCUCUUUGUCCUCCCACGCGGCCCCGCACCCCGGGGGAUCGCCCAGCCGCCCGCACAGCGCACCUGGGACCCCGGGCUGGUGAUCGCCCCCCUGCUUCCUCCCUCCCGGGCUGUGAUCGGGGAGGAAGGGCCAUAAAGGACUGGCUGCCAGCUACUGAAAUGGGAAGGGCAGAGGUAGCAGCCCUCUGAAAAUGCGCAGCGUCUCCAGCUCUCUGCAGCAGGAUGUGAUCACAUCGCGGGGCUGGUUUGUGCUCAGUGCCCAUAGAAAAGGUGCAACAGGAGGAGCGGAGAGUUCUCAGCCUGCAGAAUAGCUGACAGCCUGGUGGUUAGGUGAUCAUAUGGAAGACAUGGUUUUUAAUCCCUGCUGCAUCUGAAGAGAAUUGAACCUGGAUUUCUCAUUUUCUGAAGGGAAGGAUGCAUCAAGUAAGUGAACCAGGAACUCCAACGCAGGUACCACCAAGCAGGCUUCAGAUUCCUUGACCACGGAGCGCAUUUCAGGGAGAGAGGACUCCUGGGAAGAGAUGGCAUCCACCUCAGGAGGAAAGGUAACUCGCCACCUGGACACAAGAGAACAGAUUGACAUUGUAUACCUAGACUUGCAAACGGCCUCUGAUCUAGUAUCCCCCGAUGUCCUCGCAAGAAAAUUGGAGGAUUGUGGGCUUAACUCCAAGGCAGCAAGGUGGCUGAGAAACUGACUGCAAGAUAGGACCCAGAGUAUGUCAUACUGAAGAAAAGUGGGCAGCAGUGUCCCACAGGGGUCCAGUACUUUUCAACAUCUUUAUUAACAUUUGCAUGUGGGGAUGAAGAGCUCACUGGCCAUGUUCACAGUCAACACCAAGCUAUAGGGAAGCAUGGUCACGCUUGAAGAUAGGCUACAGAUACAAGUGGACCUAGACAGGCUGGCAAGUUGGGCGGAUCAGAACCUAAUGAAGUUCAACGUCAAGAAAUGUAAAGUGCUCUACCUCGGGCCGAGUAACCCCCAACACACCUACAGGCUUGGCGGCACCACACUUGAAAACAGGCUACAGUUACAGGCAGACCUAGACAGGCUAGCAAGUUGGGCAGAUCAGAAUCUGAUGAAGUUCAACAUUGAGAAAUGUAGUGCUCCACCUCAAGACAAGCAACCCCCAACACACCUACGUGCUCGGUGGCACCAAACUGACUAGCACUAUGAAUGAAAGGGACCUGGGGGUAGUAAUAAACUACAGUAUGAAUAUGAGCCGGCAGCAUGAUGCUGUAGCCAGUAGGCCAAAUAAUACUCAGACAUGCAUCAAUUGAUGCAUCUCCAGCAAAACCAAGGAGGUGAUUCUUCCGCUCUACUCAGCACUGGUGAGACCGCAGCUGGAGUACUGCAUCCAGUUCGUGGCACCACACUUUAACAAGGACGUGGACAAAUUUAAGAGAGUCCAAAGAAGAGCCACCCGUAUGACCAGAGUCUUAAAAGGCAAGCCAUAUGAGGAAAGGCUGAGGGAUCUGGGACUCUUCAGCCUGAGGAAAAAAAGGCUGAGGGGGGACCUGGUAGCAGCUUACCACUACACUAGGGGAGUACAUCAAGGGCUCAGUGAGCAACUGUUCACCAGGGCACCCUCAGGGAAAACUAGGAGUAAUGGCCACAAACUCCUGAAAGAUCAAUUCAGCCUCAACAUUAGGAAAAACUUCUUCACAGUCAGGGUGUCCAGACUGGAAUAAGCUCCCUCCAGAGGUGGUGCAAUCACCUACCCUUCACCUACCCUGGACAUCUUCAAGAGGAGACUAGACAGUCACCUUGCUGCAGUCACCUGACCCCCAGUUAUCUUUCCUGCCUGGUACAGGGGACUGGACCCGAUGAUCUUCCAAGGUCCCUUCUGGCCUUACAAUCUAUGAAUCUAUAGAGAGGAUGGAGAUGGGCUUUUCUCUGUGGCCGUAGGGGACAGAACUAGGAGCAAUGGCCUCACACUGCAGAAGAGGAAAUUUAGGUUGGAGAUUAGAAGGAACUUUCUGACUGUGAAGGUGGUCAAGCAUUAGCAUAGGCUACCUAGGGAAGUUGUGGAAUCUCCACCCCUGGGAAUUUUAAGAGCAGGUUGGACAGACACUUGACUGGGAUGGUUUAGUCCAGGAUGAUCCUGCCUUGAGUAGGGGGCUGGACCUUGUGAUGUCCCUUCUAGGCAUACUUUCCUAUGAUUUUAUUCAACAGGCAUAUAAAAACCCAGAACAUCUAGACCUCAUAGGAUCUUUUUGUGUAGAUGUUUUUCCGAUCAUGUUACCAGCAUAGCUUAGUUGAAGAAUUUUCAAGCAAUUUGGCUUUAAUUUCAAUGCUAGUAGGUUAAAAUUUUCAAGAGGCAAGUGUUUUUUUUUGGAUACCACAUUUUUUGCCACUCAAUUUGAGAGACUUGGGGAGAGGCCUAGUCUUCAGAAAGUUGUGCAGCAUCUGAAGGUCAAAUCUUUCAAGGGUUUUAAUUUGAACAACUACACCUAAAAUCAUUGAUCCUGUUUGAGCAUUUAGGCUGCAAUUUCUAAUACGUUCAAUAUUCAAGAGGGACGUUCAAUAUUCAAGAGGGAAUUAGAGAAAGCUCUAAUUUCAAUUGCAAGCUCCAAAGGAUCUUGAAGUUUGCAAAAGCACCUAAAUAAAGUUGGAGUUUAACAGCAGUUGUUACACAUGCGAUUAAUCUGUUCCUCGUAUUUUAAAUAAUAACCCAGCCACAUAUUUAAGGAAUUAAAUGGUGCCACAAAAAGGGAAAUCAGCCUCAGAAAUAUUACACAAAAAGUAUGGCUGGUUUCCAAUAUGCCUUAUAUUGAAGGUGCAGCAGGGUUAGGACUGCACUGGGGUCUACAACAGGCCCCACUGCAGUCUCCACUGCCAACACUCAAUUGAUUAUCAGCUGGAUCUGGAACGAUACACACAUCAACUGAACUGGGCCUGGUAUGGUCCCUGCUAGCUGAUGAUCAGCUGAUUAUUGGCUAGCUCUGGGAACUACACUCAGGCUGGUUCCAGCCCUGGUGUGGUCUCAAUUGAUCUGAGGUUCAGCUUAUUGUCAGCCAACUCUGGGGACCACCCCAGGGCAGAUUUGAGCCCCAGUGUGGUUCUCAGCCAGCCAAUAAUCAGCUGAUUGCUGGCCAUCCAGCAUUACCUUGCCAGUGCAAAGGAAGGGAAUGUGUACAUGGCAGAAAGUACAAUGGUUGAGAUUGGGGGAUCAGAUACCACCAUGCUGUUAAAUGUUACCAGCCCAAGUCUCACUGUCAGAAAGGUCUUAGGGCUACAUUUUCAAAGCUAUUUAGAUACUGAGAAUACAAACGGAUGCCUAGUGGGAUUGUUGAAAGUGCCAAGGGGCCUAAUUUUCAUGGAAAUCAAUGCAAGUUAAGCACCUAAGCAUUUUUAAAUUCCCACUAGGCAUCUUACCCUAUGUUUAGGCACAAAGAUAUUUUGAAUGCUAGGGACUCAGGUGCCUAGUCAUGCAGACAGGUGCCAAGUGGGAAUUACAUUGAGUUAGGCACCUAAUUCUGCUUAAAAGGCAAUGGAAUUAUGAACAACAAACAGUGUGGGUAUCUAUGAAAGAAAUAAAGUCAAAUGAACUGGAUUCUUUUAUUGACUAAAUUACAAAGCAGAUUAACAGAAGGCAAUGAGUAUGGUAACUAAACUUUUUUUGCAAAGUUUAAACAGAGUUGACUAAAACUAGGAAAAGGACUACAAACAAAGAUAAUCCAUAAACAGCAAUAUAAUGGGCUGCAAGAUGCCUGUCAGGAUGCCACAGGGCAUUAUGUGAAGCUGAUUUACUAUAAUCAUGAAUGAUCUGGUAGCAAAGGGACAUCAGACCUAAAAUGUAUUGCUAAUUCUACAUAUUAUUGUGAUUCUAUUUUCUAUAUGCAAAGGGAUUUAAGGUAGGUAAAUCUCAUUUGCUUUAAUGGAAAAUGCACAAAGAAACCCUUACUCAGAGAUAAGUGCCCUAUAUUGCACACACAUUUGUAAGAUUAGGGCCCUAUCAUGGUUUAAAUUGCUGUGUUUUUCCUGUCAUUGAAAGACAUUUUAGCUCCUUUAAAUGGACAAUCCCUGCAAAUAUAGAGGCUUUGAAAAGACAUAACAAAAUGCAGUAGGUAGUAUCAGUAAUGACCUGGGGUGGCAGAAAAGAGUCAGUAUUAGCCCCACAGGAAUCUACACAAAUUGAGCUACCCGAGGGCGUCUCCUGUUCUAUUAGCUGAAAAGUUGAAAAGUAUGACCAGCCACAUCAAAACUGCAGAGAAGUAAUGGUGUUCUGAUGUCUUCCUCAUGUAGUAUAGCAAGAGAUCUAAAUACUUUAAGUUUUCAGCUUGAAAUCAUUUUGACCUGUGUUCAGUAGAAUAUUCAUCAUUAGUAGCAGUGUAUUCUAAAUGCUCUAUUUUAUUGUAUUUUAUUUUUAAAAGCUUAAAUCAAAGGCAUCAGAAGUUUUAUUUACGUUGCUUUCAUCUCACCAUGGAUUAUGUAAUGCUGUCUAUAUGAUUUUGGAUAUGGUUUAGUCAAAGAAACCGAGGGAUGCAUAUUUAAGGAAAAGGGAGUAGGCAAAACUGCUAAGGAUCAGGGGCCCCAACAGGCAGCCCAAUCUGGGCUAAUUGCCAAAUUGCCCACACUUGCCUGGGGGCUCUGAUUGGCAGCCGUACCCCAGCUAAUGAUCCAGCUGGCCAUUGUUAAGGUCUUCUGAUUUGCUGCUUGGGGGAACUGCUCCCCCUUUAGUUCCACCUGUGACACCAGGCUGCAAGCCAGCUGACUGCCCUCUUGAAGGUCUGCUCUGGUGUGCCACUCUGAUCCCAUACUCCUGGUUCUCUGACUCCUGAUCCUGCAUGUCUCUUUCUGGACACUGGCAACUUAGUUUCUGACUCCUGGUUCACCCUGAUUGUGGUUCUGACUCCUCUGCUUCUGGCUCUGCCACUGGGCAUACCCCAACUUGCUUCUGGCUCCUGAUUCCAGUUCUGACUCCUGAUGUACCCCAGCUACAGCUCUGUCUCCUAACUCAUCCUGACUUCGGUACUGGCUUCUGACUCCUGAACGUUAACACUUAGUCAGUGAUUUGGACUGUGCCUCUCAAUUUCCUUUUGGAUCUGGUUACUUGGUCCCCGAUUCCUGACCCAGCCUGUCAUUUGACUCCUGCCCUAUCCCAGGGACCUAACCUUUGGGUCAGACCACCUAUAACCUGCUCUGGUCCUUACACCAAGUAGCUUUUGCUGUUCUGCUACUAGGGCAAAAACAAUGGCCACUCCCAAACACAGACAGAAGGGACUAUUUUGGGGUUGGACAUCCAAAGUGUUGUCUGCCUGUAACGGGAAAGUCAAUCCUUUAAUAGUGAAGGCAUCUCACAGGAAGGGGUCAUUAGCUAGAAGCAUUCCAGUUCCUCCAGGAAGCGAAAUGUCUAAACUCAUGACCAGGGAUCUUAGUUUUCUCUGUUAAAAAAUCCAAACAUUUCUGACAAAAAAAUCCAAAAGUCUCUGAAUAAAAAGCCCAAAAUCUGUAUUUUUCCAUGAUUAAAAUGAAAUGCCACUAUACAUAUAGGCAUCAGUCAAACACAAUAUUUUAUUGAUAUAGUUACAAUUUUAAAGCAAUUUGGAAGCCUACCAGUGCCUCAAUCAUUAUAAUAAAAUUAACUCUGAAUACCUUUA